rnacentral:lncRNA from 1 species
GCCUGCAGUGCCCACUCCCACGUGAAAGACUGGCUCGUACAUUUCCCCAUUCAGCUGAUGGUGAGUGCAGUGCUAUUUUAAGCCCACAUGGAAGUACUUUUUUUUUUUUAUAAGGACCAUCUGCUACCGGCCCCAGCCCAGAUGAUACAGUUAGAGCCUACCCACAGCAUCCUCCCCGCCUUCAGACAGUUCCAGGAACAGGGGGGCCAUGGCUGCUGCCUGCUGCAGGGUCACUGCGUGAUGCGAGCAUCGCAGCAUCUCAGUUUUGGAUCCUAAAAUCAACCAAAGGCAGAAUCUGACCGCUUUCCAAAGCAAUGAUCCUUUAGAUUGAGAACAAAAUGGUGGAACAGCUCUUCAUUUUUCCCGUCUCAAGAAGUCACAAGGCCCAGAAUGCAAGAAAAUCGUGGCUUUU